rnacentral:lncRNA from 1 species
CUCCAUCUCUCUCUCUCUCUCAAAGCUCCGCCGCUGCGGAAGCUCGCCGGGGAGCAGCGGCGAUAAGCCGUCGUCACCCACUGCUCUCCCCUCUCCGUCCGUUUCCGGCGACAGCAACGACAAAAGCCGCCGCCGACCAGUGAAUCCGACUCCUUGACAGACGAACAGUAGCAGCCAUCGGCCACCACAAUCGUCGAUCUCACCAUCUCUGGACCACCGUCGAUCCCUCCGCCGCUGUAACUGGAAGGCCGGGAGAUUCGC